ACCUGUUCCCAUCUCGAACACAGUAGUUAAGCUCGUAAACGCCGAAAGUACUUGGCUGGAGACGGCCUGGGAGGAUAGGAAGUCGCUGAUUAAGC
rnacentral:rRNA from 1 species